AGGAGAAAGGUUCCGCCCUUAGCCAGCGCGUCGCGAACGUCGGGGUCCGCGACGCAUUCGCGGGCGUCCGUUUCUUCUCCGCGCAAACCUCCUCCCCGAGCAAACCGUACCCGCGGACGAGAGGACGGGGAAGGCGGCAGGCUUGCUCCCUUGGGGAGGCUCUCUGCCUGCCUGGGCCGGGAUGCGGAGGCCCUCACCUCGCGCGGGCCCGGGACAGCGGCGGAGGACGAGACCCGGCUGGUGCCCUCGGUGCUGACAGACAGGACGGCGGCCAGAGGCCUGGGUCUCCGACCUCAGACACCCCUGUGGAGUGAGGCCAGCACUUCGCUCGGAGUUUAUUGAGCGUUCAUUCGGAAGACACCGGUGAAGUGUUCUGAUGUGGCCUGGCUUCUCGAAGUUGUCUGUAUGAAUCACCACUGCUGAUGACAACCCCCAAAGAACAAUAUACCCAUUUCUGUCCUGCUCACAGACCUGCAGGUCUGCCAAGGUGCCUCUGCUCCAGGAUGUCGGUUCAGGUCUGCAAUUAUCUGGAAUGAAUUUCUGUGCAAGGAUGCCAUGUAGAGCCAAUUUGUGUAUGGUGUAAGGUUUCCACGAAGACACUACAUUGCUCGCCCUGGGCUCAAAAUCGCUGCCCUCUUGCCUCAGUUCCCCACAGUGCUGGGAUUCCAGGUUGGUGCUACCACUCCCAGCUCAGAAAGACCUCUCUGAGGGCAGCUGGACAAAGAAGACCAUCCUCCUGCUCUCCCAAAGCAGACCCUGGCGCUGGGGCCGGGCCUGCCCUUGUGCCAAGGGUGAGCGCUGUGGCGGUGGAACACUCCAGCAGGACAGCCAGGGCCCUGGGAGCCCUUUGGAGGCAGGCCCUGCUGCUCUUCCUUCACGUCUGUCUGUUUUCCUUGUAGCUGUUUUCGGGUGUUAGAAAAUUGGAUUAAGCUUCAAUCACAUUUCCCCUAAACACAAAAGUCCAAAAUUAGUAGCACAUUUCCAACAGACCUCACUUAAAGCCACAUCAAAUUAAAUAGGAUCGUCUUAAAAUGGGCCUUCCUGUCUAUAGAUGGUGUGGCGUGGAUUGGAAAGGCUUAUGAAGUGAGGUAUGUUUGUAAAUACUGGAAAGCUCAAAAUUGUUUUGACCUUGUGAUAUUUGAACCAUUUCUUGUAAAUUGUAUUCAACUUUGAACUGAAAUCCUGUUUCAUUAUCAGCCCAUUCGAUGAUAUUUUGUUGUGGUUUUUUCUUUUACAAACCUUGGUGUUAUCUGAACUUGCAUGGCACCAAAGGAUUCUGAGGGGAGAAGGCUCCUUUGAGAGCUCCUAUUCAGCCCUCAGAGCCCUCUCAUCUUAGAGAUGGCCCAAGGAGGUAAAGUCAG